rnacentral:rRNA from 1 species
ACUCCUACGGGAGGCAGCAGUGGGGAAUAUUGGACAAUGGGGGAAACCCUGAUCCAGCCAUGCCGCGUGUGUGAAGAAGGCCUUCGGGUUGUAAAGCACUUUCAGUGGGGAGGAAAGGUUGAUGGUUAAUACCUAUCAGCUGUGACGUUACCCACAGAAGAAGCACCGGCUAACUCCGUGCCAGCAGCCGCGGUAAUACGGAGGGUGCAAGCGUUAAUCGGAAUUACUGGGCGUAAAGCGCGUGUAGGUGGCUUGUUAAGCCAGAUGUGAAAGCCCGGGGCUUAACCUCGGAAUUGCAUUUGAAACUGGCAGGCUAGAGUCUUGUAGAGGGGGGUAGAAUUUCAGGUGUAGCGGUGAAAUGCGUAGAGAUCUGAAGGAAUACCAGUGGCGAAGGCGGCCCCCUGGCACAAAGACUGACGCUCAGAUGCGAAAGCGUGGGGAGCAAACGAGG